AGUUGCUUCGCAGAUGUCUGGUCCUUGUCUUAAUGCUACAGCGCAUGAGUGAAUGUGGCUUCUUGACUGGUCUUCACAGAGCUCCGGGUAGUGAAAGCUGUGGCAACAGUUGCUAAAAGGAACAUGUGCAACUUGAAACACUUGAUGUCAAUCACUCAGCCCAGCCACUUGUCAACAUACCUCAAAAGCUCACCCUUACCUGACACGGAGC